ensembl:lncRNA
CAGGAUGAGUGGGUUUUUAGGGAGCAUUCUCUGGAAAACAAACCAUUCCCUCUGGUUCAGUAUGGUGGGUUAGUGUGGAAAGGUGAUGUUUUUGAGAUGUACGAACACAGAUGGUGAUGGAUACGAACAGGCUGAUGAAGGCUGUGCAUGUUUGCUCUUGGAAAUCAUCUGUUCCUGAACAUCAUCAUGGCUUGACACAAGAUUCGUCCAACCAUUCCAGUAAUGCAUUGGAAUGCCUUGAGGUUGGAUCCCAGUGGAUUCCGCAACUCAAUCAAGGUUUCACCAAAGUUUCACCAAAUGACUCAUGCUUGGAAUGGAUAUGCAGAAGGAAAAACUG